GACGAACGCUGGCGGCGUGCUUAACACAUGCAAGUCGAACGGAAAGGCCCAGCUUGCUGGGUACUCGAGUGGCGAACGGGUGAGUAACACGUGGGUGAUCUGCCCUGAACUUCGGGAUAAGCCUGGGAAACUGGGUCUAAUACCGGAUAUGACCAUUGGUUGCAUGACUUUUGGUGGAAAGCUUUUGCGGUUCAGGAUGGGCCCGCGGCCUAUCAGCUUGUUGGUGAGGUAACGGCUCACCAAGGCGACGACGGGUAGCCGACCUGAGAGGGUGAUCGGCCACACUGGGACUGAGACACGGCCCAGACUCCUACGGGAGGCAGCAGUGGGGAAUAUUGCACAAUGGGUGCAAGCCUGAUGCAGCGACGCCGCGUGGGGGAUGACGGCCUUCGGGUUGUAAACCUCUUUCGGCAGGGACGAAGCGCAAGUGACGGUACCUGCAGAAGAAGCACCGGCCAACUACGUGCCAGCAGCCGCAGUAACAC
rnacentral:rRNA from 1 species